GCGCCGAAUUGGCCCGAGUGUUGCCGAGGAGACCGGAAGAUCGCAGUUGUUGCAGUAAAACCCCAGCCUUGACACAUCCAAUAUGGCAGCGACGUUGACGUAUUGCAGCAGUGGACAAACCCAGUCGAUGCGGCGUCGAGCUCUGUCUAAGGGCUUGAACCCACAUGUAGGAAAUACGACAUACAAACUCCGGCCACAAUGGAGUCAGGCCAGAAACGCUGCGUAGGACGAUGCUGUGACUUCAUCUUCUUUGCUUUAGGAGCCGGGUCAGGGUUACUGGCAUCUAACAUCGGCUGGAGGAUACGCCGCCGAGCGUUGAUGAACCUGAAACAGAGGCAAAACACAGGCUGAUGCUGGGACAUUUUGUGACUGUGAUGUGGAUUCAAUAUUUUGGAAACACUAGAGCACAUGUGGAAUAAGUGCCCAUUAUAAUUACUAGUUUAUUAUUUUUCCAACCAGCAGAUGGCAGCACACGGCAAGUCAUGUGCUGCCUACAAAUUCAACUGAGGCUAUGGCCACACAUUUGCAUCAGCAAUUAAAUGACACAGAAAUGAAACGAUAACGCCUUACUUUUAUCCCUGUGGUUGCCUUGCAGGCCUUUCUACCUUCUUAGAAUAUUGUACCAGGCUAGUCUGGAAGGAUAACCUCCUCUUCUCCUUCCAGAUGUCCUUGUAACAGCACAGGGAAUCCACGACCCCGCUCGCAUUCAAUAAUCUUGAUCCUUAACUCAUUCAAUCCCAGCCAUUUUUCAACAGACAACCCCUUCACUACCUUCUGACUGAUCUUUCAAGGCACACAGAAUAUUGUGUUCUAUGGCUAUAUAAACAUGGAACCUA